AAGCCACUGCUCUAUAUGAUGAAUAUAUGAGUGAUUUACAGUAAUCAACACUCAACAAUGCUGCAUUUCCAGUUUUCCUUUUUCAUGAAGACAUAUCUCUCUGAACUCUCUCACACUUGUUUAGUCAUGUGUGCUGUGAUUGGCCAACCUUUACAAAUGUUUCAGCACCUCGUAAACCAGUUAAUCUGGUUUAAAGAGUAAAAAGUUCAGUAGCGACGUUGGAGAGAGAAUCAGAAACAGUGCUUGGAGAGAACACCCUGCCAGGAUUAGGUGUCUCUGAAGGAGGAAGAUGAGCUCCAAAAUGAGUGUCUCUGGGGAACAGGACACACAGGAAGCUGAGAGGUGUGAGAAUAAUGUGAUUGGGUAUAAAGUGAAAGGUUUGCUGGAAAGGUUGUAGAUGGUGUCUGAUACUGGUUGUGUUUUAGACUGGAUCAGGAUAAGAGAUCAGACUCACCUGAACCCAGCUGUGUCUCCAUGAAGAGUGACCAGUCAAUGGAAAAACCUUUACGCUUCAGUGAGGACAACAGAUCUACUGAUCUCAGUGAGAUUCAGAGAGAGAGGACAGACCCUCCUGAACCCAGCUGUGUGUCCAUGAAGAGUGACGAUUCAAUGGAACUCCCAACAAACUUCAGAAAGGAAGACUGUUCUCCUGAACUGACAGUCCAGAAGGAGACUCCAGAAAUCAGCAGGAGAAAUAUGGACUUCAUAUUAAA